rnacentral:rRNA from 1 species
UGCCACAUACAUGCAAGUCGAACGGAAAGGCCCUUCGGGGUACUCAAGUGGCGGACGGGUGAGUAACACGUAGGAAUCUACCCUAGAGUGGGGGACAACCAAGAGAAAUCUUGGCUAAUACCCCAUAUGCCGAAAGGUGAAAGGUUUUUCGCUCUAGGAGGAGCCUGCGUUGGAUUAGCUAGUUGGUGGGGUAAAGGCCUACCAAGGCUACGAUCUAUAGCUGGCCUUUGAGGAUGAUCAGCCACAAUGGGACUGAGAUACGGCCCAUACUCCUACGGGAGGCAGCAGUAGGGAAUCUUGCGCUUUGGCGAAAGCCUGACGCAGCAAUACCGUGUGCGGGCGUCCCCUGUGGAGUGUAAACCGC